rfam:Dipodomys ordii contig_18577, whole genome shotgun sequence.
GGGAAGGUGGCUCAGUGGUAGAGUGCUUGCCUUGUAUACAUGAGGCCGCAGGUUCAAUUCCUCAGUACCA